rnacentral:rRNA from 1 species
UACAGAGGGGGCAAGCGUUGUUCGGAAUUACUGGGCGCAAAGGGCGCGUAGGCGGCCUUCUAAGUCAUGCGUGAAAUCCCUGGGCUCAACCCAGGAACUGCGUCUGAUACUGGAAGGCUUGAAUCCGGGAGAGGGAUGUGGAAUUCCAGGUGUAGCGGUGAAAUGCGUAGAUAUCUGGAGGAACACCGGUGGCGAAGGCGGCAUCCUGGACCGGUAUUGACGCUGAGGCGCGAAAGCCAGGGGAGCAAACGGG